AGACCCCAUUCCUUCUGGUCCCGCCAGGGCACGCGGGACCAGAGGCAGAAGAACCUGCCCCCCCCUUCAGCGCAGUUCACGUGAGGGCAGGGGCAGAGGGGAUGGCGCGCCAAGUUCCCACCCCUAGGCCCCGCUGCGCGAUCCGGCCAACCCCUCCCGACUGAGCAGUGGAGCGGGGCCUAGAGGCCCGCUGCCGGGCGCUGGCUCCUCCCUCCCCGGCCGCUCCGGCUCCCGCCUCUCUCCCUUCCGCCGCCUAGGUGGGAGCCGAGCCUGAAUGAACGAGCCGCAGCCGGGGCCGGGCAGCUGCAGGGCUGCUGCGGGCGGGCAGUCUGGAGGCGGCAGCGGAGAUGCCAGGACCCCGCUGAGCUCACCGUUUUGCUCCUGGAGCCUGGAGCCUGACGCACCAGGCGGUACGAGGCCGGAGGCCGCAUGCGGAGCGGUGAGGAGCUGGGCAGCUUCCAGGAUGAGGCCUGCCUGCAGCAGCUCCAGGAUCGUAGGCGCCAGCCGCACUUCUUUGCCUACUCCCGAGCCAGUGAUCCAGCGCCCUGGGCUGGGAGGCCUCCGCUGCGACCCCGACCAGCUGCGCUGCAUUCUCGGCCUCCUCAAAGUCGCCAAAUUGGUCACAGAAAAAUAUUCACAGCAAUGAAAGAGUGGAGAAUCCAUGCACUGCCUUAUGAUGACCUGAGGGCCACCAGGACCUUCCCAAUCCAAAAGACCACCUCCAACAGGCCUGAUGAGAGUGGCUUGGGGCAACCACAGCAGUGUUUGAACACAGUGGAUGACUUACAUCUCCCAGCUUUACAGCAGCAGAGACUCAAGACCAAGAAAUGA
rnacentral:lncRNA from 1 species